rnacentral:lncRNA from 1 species
CAGGCUCUCUCUGAAAGAGCUGCGCCCAGAGACUUCUGAGUCGGAAAAUCUAGAAAAUGUGAGCCAGAGUGUUCAGGGAGCAUGCCGCCCGGCGGGCCCUUACCAGCACUGUACCCUACGUUUUCUGGGAGAUCCAGCCCACACUUGAGUAUGAAGGCACAGAGGUUUCCAGAUCUGAAAUGCAUAGCGACCUGCAAAUGCGAAAGCGGCAACACCCAGUCCUACAGCUAUCAAAUUUCUUGCCAGUUUGUUGUCGAUGUCGGCGUCAGGCAGGUUAGCGGAGAGCGACGCGAACUCGGCGUAGAGCAGCCCCUCGCUGGUGGCAGACAGGCCGUGCCCCGCCCCCAUGGCAAUGCGGCCCGGGAAGACGCUCCACUC